rnacentral:rRNA from 1 species
UACGAAGGGGGCUAGCGUUGCUCGGAAUCACUGGGCGUAAAAGGCGCGUAGGCGGCGUUUUAAGUCGGGGGUGAAAGCCUGUGGCUCAACCACAGAAUGGCCUUCGAUACUGGGACGCUUGAGUAUGGUAGAGGUUGGUGGAACUGCGAGUGUAGAGGUGAAAUUCGUAGAUAUUCGCAAGAACACCGGUGGCGAAGGCGGCCAACUGGACCAUUACUGACGCUGAGGCGCGAAAGCGUGGGGAGCAAACAGG